GUCUUUAAAAUUAAAAGAUUUGGCGGUAUUUUAGUCUAUUCAGAGGAACCUGUUUUUUAAUUGAUAAUCCACGAUUAACUAUACUUUAAAUAUUAGUUUGUAUAUCGUCGUAGUUUGAAUAUUUUAAUAUUUAAUAUUUUCAGAUCAAGAUGCAGUUUAUUUUAAAGUUAGAAUGGGUUACAUUGAAAAAGUUAAUUAAAUUGGAUUUGAUAGUAAGCUCUAAGAUAUGUACAUAUCGCCCGUCGCUUUCAUAUAAAAUGAAAUAAGUCGUAACAUAGUAGGCUUAUUGGAAAAUGAGCCUAGAAUGCAAAUUAGAGCUUGAUAAGUAUUUUAUUUACAUUAAAAUGUUAACUGUGAAAUUCAGUUUAAUUUGAAUAGAUUUAAUUAUUUAUAAUUUAUUUUAUUUAUUUUUGAAUAAAAAAUUAGGUAUUUUAUUAUGUUAAGGAAAAAAUUUAAUUAUAGUUUAUAGUACAGUGGUGGAAAUUAUAUUAUUUAAUAAAGAAGAUUUUAUUUAUUGUACCUUGUGUAUCAGGGUUUAUUAAUUUAAUGUUCCCGAAUUUUUAAGAGUUAUUUUUAUUGUAUAAUAAAUAUUUAUAAUAUUUAAAUAGUAAUGAAACGUUAUUCGUUUAAAAAUUUAUCUGGUUUUUUAAGAAAUUAAUUUAAUUUAUUAUAAAAUUAAAAUAUUUAUAGGGGAUAAUCUUUUAAAUAUAUAAUUAUAGUCUAUUAAUUUUAAAUAAGAAAUAGGAUUGGAAUUUUUCGUUUUAAUUAAUGUUAUAAUAUAUGACUUAAGUUUUUUAUUAAAAUUAUGACAUUAAUUUAAAAUGUUAUGUAAUAAUGAUAGAAUUAGUAAAGUUAAUGUAAGGAAUUAGGCAAAGUAUUUUUCACCUGUUUAAUAAAAACAUGUCUUUUAGAUAAUAAUUUAAAGUCUAGCCUGCCCAAUGAUUUAAUGGCUGCAGUAUUUUGACUGUACAAAGGUAGCAUAAUCAUUAGUUUUUUAAUUGAAAGCUUGUAUGAAAGGUUGGAUGAGAAAAUAACUGUCUUUAGAAUUUUAUUUUUAAGUGAAAAAGCUUAAAUGUAAUAGAAAGACGAGAAGACCCUAUAGAGUUUUUUGGUUGGGGUGAUUUUAAAAUUUAAUAAACUUUUAUUAUUUUUGUAUAUUUGAUCUUUGAUUAUAAGAAUUAAUUACCUUAGGGAUAACAGCGUAAUUUUUUUAGAGAGUUCUUAUCG
rnacentral:rRNA from 1 species